rnacentral:rRNA from 1 species
GACGAACGCUGGCGGCGUGCUUAACACAUGCAAGUCGAACGGAAAGGCCCUGCUUGCAGGGUACUCGAGUGGCGAACGGGUGAGUAACACGUGGGUGAUCUGCCCUGCACUUCGGGAUAAGCCUGGGAAACUGGGUCUAAUACCGGAUAGGAGCCAUUUUUAGGGUGAGGGUUGGAAAGUUUUUUCGGUGUAGGGUGAGCUCGCGGCCUAUCAGCUUGUUGGUGGGGUAAUGGCCUACCAAGGCGGCGACGGGUAGCCGGCCUGAGAGGGUGGACGGCCACAUUGGGACUGAGAUACGGCCCAGACUCCUACGGGGGGCAGCAGGGGGGAAUAUUGCACAAUGGGCGCAAGCCUGAUGCAGCGACGCCGCGUGGGGGAUGACGGCCUUCGGGUUGUAAACUCCUUUCGCUAGGGACGAAGCUUUUUGUGACGGUACCUAGAUAAGAAGCACCGGCUAACUACGUG